rnacentral:rRNA from 1 species
GAUGAACGCUAGCGGCAGGCCUAACACAUGCAAGUCGAGGGGUAGAAUUAGCUUGCUAAUUUGAGACCGGCGCACGGGUGCGUAACGCGUAUGCAAUCUACCUUGUACAGGGGGAUAGCCCAGAGAAAUUUGGAUUAAUACCCCAUGGUAUAAUUAAUUUGCAUGAAUUGAUUAUUAAAGUUCCAACGGUACAAGAUGAGCAUGCGUCCCAUUAGCUAGUUGGUGUGGUAACGGCAUACCAAGGCGACGAUGGGUAGGGGUCCUGAGAGGGAGAUCCCCCACACUGGUACUGAGACACGGACCAGACUCCUACGGGAGGCAGCAGUGAGGAAUAUUGGUCAAUGGUCGGAAGACUGAACCAGCCAUGCCGCGUGCAGGAAGAAGCAUCUAUGGUGUGUAAACUGCUUUUGUACGGGAAGAAACACUCCUUCGUGAAGGAGCUUGACGGUACCGUAAGAAUAAGGAUCGGCUAACUCCGUGCCAGCAGCCGCGG